AGAUUGAACGCUGGCGGCAGGCCUAACACAUGCAAGUCGAGCGGCAGCACGGGUACUUGUACCUGGUGGCGAGCGGCGGACGGGUGAGUAAUGCCUAGGAAUCUGCCUGGUAGUGGGGGAUAACGCUCGGAAACGGACGCUAAUACCGCAUACGUCCUACGGGAGAAAGCAGGGGACCUUCGGGCCUUGCGCUAUCAGAUGAGCCUAGGUCGGAUUAGCUAGUUGGUGAGUAAUGGCUCACCAAGGCGACGAUCCGUAACUGGUCUGAGAGGAUGAUCAGUCACGACUGGAACUGAGACACGGUCCAGACUCUACGGGAGCAGCAGGUGGGAAUAGUUGGAACUAAGUGGGACGAAAGCCUAGAUCCACGCCAAGUCGCCGGCGUGU
rnacentral:rRNA from 1 species